UCACGUUAUAGAGAUUGAUGAUAUGCCUUUUUUAGAAGCUUAUAAGUUUUCAUCGUGUCAAAUCUUGCAAUUGAAUUUCAUGAAUUCGACACAUGAAAUAAGUUAAGCAGUGCUCUAAAUAAAUUAAUCAAUGAAUUAAAUUCAUUAGUAAUUUAAUUUAUUGAUUAAUAUAUGUAAUCUUAACAUGGGGAAUUACAUAAGUGUUCAAUAGGAAUUUCAAAAUAUAAAUAGAGGAGUGCAAUAACGAAUUUCUAGUGAAAUAAUUUGUAAUUUAUUAUGGUAAGAAUAAUUUAAAUUAAUUAUUUGGAAUUAUUUCCAUAAUAAGAAGCCUCAGUAAUAACUUAUGUGGUC
rnacentral:lncRNA from 1 species